GGGGUGUCAUUUUUUCCCCAGUGCUGAGAACCCAGUGUUUUACACUUGCUAACAAGCACACUCUCCUUGAGCCCCCUCUUUGUUCUUCAGGUGAUCACAGUGUGUGUCCUGCCCCUCCCCUGGGUCAGAUUCCUGGUGAGUUAUCCAGGCUGUGUAUGUGUGCCCAGGGCCAGCUCAAAUGUGUCUCAUGAUAAAGGCUAGGCUAUGCAAAACCUUGAGGAUACCACUAGCCAACCUGGCCCAUCAUAGUGGCCCUGCUGCUCCCUCCUGGUCCCAAGACUUCAUCGAGCACCAGGAGCCAGGUGCAGAGUGAGAUCGGAAAUGCUAGGAUGGACAGCUACAUUGGUUUAGGUCAUCUGACAGCACCAGCCAGCUGUCUCCUCUUGACACCAUUCCUGGGCCUGCUUAUGGGCUAGAUGGCCUUCAGACCCAAUGUUUUUUUUUUUUUUUGUUUUUUGUUUUUAAAGGUUGAUUUGUUUAUGUAUAUGAGUACACUGUCACUGUCUUCAGACACACCAGAAGAGGGCAUCAGAUGGCUGUGAGCCACCAUGUGGUUGCUGGGAAUUGAACUCAGAACCUCUGGAAGAGCAGUCAGUGCUCUUAACCGCUGAGCCAUCUCUCCAGCCCUGGAUCUGUUUUUUUGUUUAUUUGGUUUUGUUUUCAAAAUUUUGGAGAUUCUUAAACAUUUUUUAUUUUAUGUGUAUGAGUGUUUAAAUAUAUGUCUGUGUACUAUGUGAGUAUGGUGCCCUACAGGAUCAGACCUAAAACUGGAGUUACAGAAGGUUGUAAGCUGCCAUGCAGGUCCUGGGAACUGCCUCCACCUCCUAAGAGCCAAGACCAUGUUCACGGCCUAUACCAUGAAGCCCAGUGUGGAGUUCUGGGGUCUCUUCAGCCUCUCUGUGGUAGUUACCAUCACAAACCUAAGCAAAACAGGGAAUGGCUGUUCACACCUGUAACCCAGCACUCCAGAGGCUGAGGCAGGAGGAUCAGGUUGCAUCCCAGGUCCCUCUGGGCUACAGAACUGAGAGCUCCAUUGUCUGUGACAAAGUUUAAGGGAGGAGGACAUUGUUGAUGGUUGACAUGACAGUCCCAUGUGCUGAUGACUCUGAGUACUGGGGUUUGGCCAGCCCACUUAAAAUUAAUUAAACCCAGUCGAGUUGGCCGAGCAGCAGGUAGAAGGGACUUGCUACCAAACCCUCAGAGCCAUCUGAUGGAAGGUGGGAAUGUUGGCCUCUGACUUUUAUACACUAUGACACUGUGUGUGUGUGCGCGUGUGCGUGUGACUGCCAGGCAUGACACACCUUGGAGCACAGUACUCUGGAGAAAAGGCAGAUGGGAUCUCUGAGUUCAAGUCCAGCCUGCUCCCUGUUAUCCAUCUCCAGGCCAGGCAGAGCUACACAGUGAGACCUUGUCUAUUAAGUACAGGCUGGAGGAGCUAAGAGAGAUGGUACUUGCUGAUAAUCCCAGUACUGAAUAAGAUGGAGACUUCUAGGCCAACCUGAGCUACAUGGUAAGACCAGGGUUCCUAGACCAGCCCUGGCUACAUGAAGAGACAAGAUCUAGAGAGCCAAUUUACAAGGCAUACUGUACUCUGUUCGAAUAGAGACCACUGAGAGCAGAUCCAGCAACAGUCUUUUCAGCACACCUGGCAUGGGGCCUAAAAGGCACCGUGCUCUCGGUCUGAGUCAGCACUCCCCUGUCUGCCUCUGCUUCCCUUCUCUGUGCUGCCCAAGGCUUGAGGAUGUACAUCAGCCUCUCCCAUCUCCUCGGGGCAUCUUCAGGACCCCUGGUGACAGUGUCCUCCAUAGGGGUCAUGGCCUCUUCUGCUCUGGAUCAAGGGGACUUCCCCCAUGAGGAACUGGCUGAGGAGAGCCACGUUUAUGCCUCACAAAUGAGCAGCCUCCUCCACUCCUGCGCUGCAGACGUCACUGAGUCAUCCCGAGCCUGGAAAUCACCACAUUCGGGUCUUCGACUGCACCGCCAGGGAGGUGUUCCUCUGCCUAGAUGCUUAAACCUCGGUGUGAGCCACGAGCUGGGUGAAUUCAGACAGGAAGUGGGAGGACCUACAUUCAAUUCCUGGCACCUAGAAGGGCAGCUCACAAUGAC
rnacentral:lncRNA from 1 species